AAUAAAAGUAGCUUAAACAAGGGAAAGCCUGUUUCUCUGUCACAUAGGAGUCUACAUGGUCCAGGACUGAAAUAACAGCUCUGUAGUGUGAGGGAAGCCAGGGCCCUUCUCUGGUUCUGUCGUUCCCAGCAGGCAGCUCUUCUACUGUCCAAGAGGGCUGCUCUGGCUUUCCACCAUCAUGUCUACAUUUCAAACAACAGGAAGGAGCCUUAAGUGCAGUAAGUGCUGGAAGAAUUCUGCACUGAUUAGAAACAGAAUUGAUACAGUUAUGGAAGAGGAUUUCUUGCAAGAUCAUGGAAGGGAAGAGUCUACAGUGGCUGUCUGUAUGCUAGAGCCAGAGGCUCCAGCGGCUACAAGGAGUGGGAAGUCUUCAGCAAAGAGGAAUCAAGGAUACAGUGCCAGUCUGAAACCAAAGUCCUAGAAGCUCCCUGGAGGCUCCCUGGAGAGUCACUGGACCUCUUGCAAGAGGGCUGCCUUCUGGCUGCUUCUGCUUUCUUCUCAGCUGGAAUACAUAUAUGUGUGUGUGCGUGUGUGUGUGUGUGCGUGUGUGCAUGCACCUGGGAAGAGGACGUGCCCAG
rnacentral:lncRNA from 1 species